AAUAAGUGCAACUUUUACACAGUUUAUAUUUAACGUUUGAUCAUUCAUCUUAUUUUAAAAAAUUAUGAUUAUUAUUUUUAUUGUUGUUAGAUAAUGAAACAUAAAUCAUAUUUUAUGUGUGACUAUUUUUUAAUUUUUUUUAUAAUUUUUUCAAGUAAGAUGAAUGGUCAAACGAUACGGAAAUCUAUAGUUAUAUUAGGA
rnacentral:pre_miRNA from 1 species